GAUGAAGAACGCAGCGAAAUGCGAUACUUGGUGUGAAUUGCAGAAUCCCGUGAACCAUCGAGUCUUUGAACGCAAGUUGCGCCCGAAGCCACUAGGCCGAGGGCACGCCUGCCUGGGCGUCACACGUCGUCGCCCCCCCAUCUACUCCUUCGGGAUUGCGGGGGGGCGGAUGAUGGCCUCCCGUGCGCCUAGCCGCGCGGUUGGCAUAAAUACCAAGUCCUCGGCGACGCACGCCACGACAAUCGGUGGUUGCGAAACCUCGGUUGCCCGUCGUGUGCGUUCGUCGCGCAUCGAGGGCUCGAAAAAAUGCUCGGCUCCGGCUGGGCUUUCAACGCGACCCCAGGUCAGGCGGGGUUACCCGCUGAAUUUAAGCAUAUCAAUAAGCGGAGGA
rnacentral:misc_RNA from 1 species